rnacentral:rRNA from 1 species
ACUCAAAGGAAUUGACGGGGGCCCGCACAAGCGGAGGAACAUGUGGUUUAAUUCGAUGAUACGCGAGGAACCUUACCCGGGCUUGAAAUGCAUCUGACAGGAGCAGAGACGCUCUCUUCCUUCGGGACAGAUGUGUAGGUGCUGCAUGGUUGUCGUCAGCUCGUGCCGUGAGGUGUCGGCUUAAGUGCCAUAACGAGCGCAACCCUCAUCAUUAGUUACCAUCAGGUUAAGCUGGGGACUCUAAUGAGACUGCCAUCGUAAGAUGCGAGGAAGGUGGGGAUGACGUCAAAUCAGCACGGCCCUUACGUCCGGGGCGACACACGUGUUACAAUGGGUGGUACAAAGGGCAGCUACAUGGCGACAUGAUGCUAAUCUCCAAAACCACUCUCAGUUCGGAUCGGAGUCUGCAACUCGACUUCGUGAAGCUGGAUUCGCUAGUAAUCGCGCAUCAGCCACGGCGCGGUGAAUACGUUCCCGGGCCUUGUACACACCGCCCGU